AGGAUUAGAUACCCGGGUAGUCCCAGCUGUAAACGAUGCAGGCUAGGUGUUUGGACGGCCACGUGCCGUUCUAGUGCCGCAGGGAAGCUGUUAAGCCUGCCGCCUGGGGAGUACGAUCGCAAGAUUGAAACUUAAAGGAAUUGGCGGGGGAGCACCACAAGGGGUGAAGCUUGCGGUUUAAUUGGAGUCAACGCCGGAAAUCUCACCGGGAGCGACAGCAGUAUGAAGGCCAGAUUAAAGGUCUUGCUAGACGAGCUGAGAGGAGGUGCAUGGCCGUCGCCAGUUCGUGCCGUGAGGUGUCCUGUUAAGUCAGGCAACGAUCGAGACCCGCGUCCUCUGUUGCUACUAGCCUUGUGCUGGGCACACUGAGGAGACCGCCACUGAUAAAGUGGAGGAAGGAGCGGGCCACGGCAGGUCAGUAUGCCCCGAAUCUCCCGGGCCACACGCGAGUUGCAAUGGCAGGUACAAUGGGUUCCGACCUCGAAAGGGGAAGGCAAUCUCGAAAGCCUGCCGUAGUUGGGGAUCGAGGGCUGAAACCCGCCCUCGUGAACAUGGAAUCCCUAGUAAUCGCGUGUCAUUAGCGCGCGGUGAAUACGUCCCUGCUCCUUGCACACACCGCCCGUCGUUCCAUCCGAGCGACUCUUGGGUGAGGCGCCGUCUUUCAUGGCGGUGUCGAAUCUAAGUUUCGUAAGGAGGGAAAAGUCGUAACAAG
rnacentral:rRNA from 1 species